rnacentral:snoRNA from 1 species
AUAGUGAUGAAAUUUAUUUGGUCCGUGUUUAUGAACUUAUUUGAUUAUAACUACUCUCCAAUUGAACUGACAUGU